rnacentral:rRNA from 1 species
UACAGAGGUCCCGAGCGUUGUUCGGAUUCAUUGGGCGUAAAGGGUGCGUAGGCGGCUUCCUAAGUUUGAUGUGAAAUCCUGGGGCUCAACCCUGGAACUGCAUUGAAUACUGGGAGGCUAGAGUACUGGAGAGGAAACUGGAAUUUACGGUGUAGCAGUGAAAUGCGUAGAGAUCGUAAGGAAGACCAGUGGCGAAGGCGAGUUUCUGGACAGUUACUGACGCUGAGGCACGAAAGCUAGGGGAGCAAACAGG